UACGAAGGGGGCUAGCGUUGCUCGGAAUCACUGGGCGUAAAGCGCACGUAGGCGGAUUGCUAAGUCAGGGGUGAAAUCCUGGAGCUCAACUCCAGAACUGCCUUUGAUACUGAAGAUCUUGAGUUCGGGAGAGGUGAGUGGAGCUGCGAGUGUAGAGGUGAAAUUCGUAGAUAUUCGCAAGAACACCAGUGGCGAAGGCGGCUCACUGGCCCGAUACUGACGCUGAGGCACGAAAGCGUGGGGAGCAAACAGG
rnacentral:rRNA from 1 species